GCGAGUCGAGAGAUUUCGGAUCUCGGCAGACUGCUCAGUAACACGUGGAUAAUCUACCCUUAGGUGGGGCAUAACCUCGGGAAACUGAGACUAAUACCCCAUAGGUCUAAAAUGCUGGAAUGCUUUUAGGCUGAAAACGCUAGUGCCUAAGGAUGAGUCUGCGGCCUAUCAGGUUGUAGUAAGUGUAACGGACUUACUUGCCGAUGACGGGUACGGGCCUUGAGAGAGGUAGCCCGGAGAUGGACUCUGAGACACGAGUCCAGGCCCUACGGGGCGCAGCAGGCGCGAAAACUUCACAAUGUGGGAAACCACGAUGAGGGGAUUCCAAGUGCUAAUACAUUGUAUUAGCUGUUACAUUGUCUAAAAAACAAUGAGAGUAAGAGCUGGGUAAGACGGGUGCCAGCCGCCGCGGUAAUACCCGCAGCUCAAGUGGUGGUCGCUUUUAUUGGGCCUAAAGCGUCCGUAGCCGGUCUAGUAAACCCUUGGAUAAAUCGGGCAGCUUAACUGUCCGAAGCCCGAGGAGACUGCUAGACUUGGGACUGGGAGAGGUUAGAGGUACUUCUGGGGUAGGGGUGAAAUCCUGUAAUCCCAGUUGGACCACCAGUGGCGAAGGCGUCUAACUAGAACGGAUCCGACGGUAAGGGACGAAACCCUGGGGAACAAACCGGAUUAGAUACCCGGGUAGUCCAGGGCGUAAACGCUGCAGGCUUGGUGUUGGGGGUCCUACGAGGGCGCUCAGUGCCGG
rnacentral:rRNA from 1 species